GAUGAACGCUGGCGGCGUGCCUAAUACAUGCAAGUCGAGCGAACGGACGAGAAGCUUGCUUCUCUGAUGUUAGCGGCGGACGGGUGAGUAACACGUGGAUAACCUACCUAUAAGACUGGGAUAACUUCGGGAAACCGGAGCUAAUACCGGAUAAUAUUUUGAACCGCAUGGUUCAAAAGUGAAAGACGGUCUUGCUGUCACUUAUAGAUGGAUCCGCGCUGCAUUAGCUAGUUGGUAAGGUAACGGCUUACCAAGGCAACGAUGCAUAGCCGACCUGAGAGGGUGAUCGGCCACACUGGAACUGAGACACGGUCCAGACUCCUACGGGAGGCAGCAGUAGGGAAUCUUCCGCAAUGGGCGAAAGCCUGACGGAGCAACGCCGCGUGAGUGAUGAAGGUCUUCGGAUCGUAAAACUCUGUUAUUAGGGAAGAACAUAUGUGUAAGUAACUGUGCACAUCUUGACGGUACCUAAUCAGAAAGCCACGGCUAACUACGUGCCAGCAGCCGCGGUAAUACGUAGGUGGCAAGCGUUAUCCGGAAUUAUUGGGCGUAAAGCGCGCGUAGGCGGUUUUUUAAGUCUGAUGUGAAAGCCCACGGCUCAACCGUGGAGGGUCAUUGGAAACUGGAAAACUUGAGUGCAGAAGAGGAAAGUGGAAUUCCAUGUGUAGCGGUGAAAUGCGCAGAGAUAUGGAGGAACACCAGUGGCGAAGGCGACUUUCUGGUCUGUAACUGACGCUGAUGUGCGAAAGCGUGGGGAUCAAACAGGAUUAGAUACCCUGGUAGUCCACGCCGUAAACGAUGAGUGCUAAGUGUUAGGGGGUUUCCGCCCCUUAGUGCUGCAGCUAACGCAUUAAGCACUCCGCCUGGGGAGUACGACCGCAAGGUUGAAACUCAAAGGAAUUGACGGGGACCCGCACAAGCGGUGGAGCAUGUGGUUUAAUUCGAAGCAACGCGAAGAACCUUACCAAAUCUUGACAUCCUUUGACAACUCUAGAGAUAGAGCCUUCCCCUUCGGGGGACAAAGUGACAGGUGGUGCAUGGUUGUCGUCAGCUCGUGUCGUGAGAUGUUGGGUUAAGUCCCGCAACGAGCGCAACCCUUAAGCUUAGUUGCCAUCAUUAAGUUGGGCACUCUAAGUUGACUGCCGGUGACAAACCGGAGGAAGGUGGGGAUGACGUCAAAUCAUCAUGCCCCUUAUGAUUUGGGCUACACACGUGCUACAAUGGACAAUACAAAGGGCAGCGAAACCGCGAGGUCAAGCAAAUCCCAUAAAGUUGUUCUCAGUUCGGAUUGUAGUCUGCAACUCGACUACAUGAAGCUGGAAUCGCUAGUAAUCGUAGAUCAGCAUUCUACGGUGAAUACGUUCCCGGGUCU
rnacentral:rRNA from 1 species